rnacentral:rRNA from 1 species
UACGUAUGGUGCAAGCGUUAUCCGGAUUUACUGGGUGUAAAGGGAGCGCAGGCGGCGCGUUAAGCCUGGUGUGAAAGCCCGCGGCCCCACCGCGGGACUGCAUUGGGAACUGGCGCGCUGGAGUGCCGGAGGGGUAGGCGGAAUUCCUAGUGUAGCGGUGAAAUGCGUAGAUAUUAGGAGGAACACCAGUGGCGAAGGCGGCCUACUGGACGGUGACUGACGCUGAGGCUCGAAAGCGUGGGGAGCAAACAGG